rnacentral:rRNA from 1 species
CACGUAGGGUGCGAGCGUUGUCCGGAAUUAUUGGGCGUAAAGAGCUCGUAGGCGGUUUGUCGCGUCUGCCGUGAAAGUCCGGGGCUCAACUCCGGAUCUGCGGUGGGUACGGGCAGACUAGAGUGAUGUAGGGGAGACUGGAAUUCCUGGUGUAGCGGUGGAAUGCGCAGAUAUCAGGAGGAACACCAAUGGCGAAGGCAGGUCUCUGGGCCGAUACUGACGCUGAGGAGCGAAAGCGUGGGGAGCGAACAGG